rnacentral:rRNA from 1 species
AGCAGCCGCGGUAAUUCCAGCUCCAAUAGCGUAUAUUAAAGUUGCUGCAGUUAAAAAGCUCGUAGUUGAAUUUCGGGACCAAUAUGUCGGUCGUGCUUCGGUACGUACUGGCAUCGUUGGUUUCUCCUUUCUGAAGAACCAUGAUGUCAUUUAUUUGGUGUCGUGGGGAAUCAGGACUGUUACUUUGAAAAAAUUAGAGUGUUUAAAGCAGGCUCACGCUUGAAUACAUUAGCAUGGAAUAAUGAAAUAGGACGUUUGAUUCUAUUUUGUUGGUUUCUAGGAUCGACGUAAUGAUUAAUAGGGAUAGUUGGGGGCAUUAGUAUUCAAUUGUCAGAGGUGAAAUUCUUGGAUUUAUUGAAGACUAACUACUGCGAAAGCAUUUGCCAAGGAUGUUUUCAUUAAUCAAGAACGAAAGUUAGGGGAUCGAAGACGAUCAGAUACCGUCGUAGUCUUAACCAUAAACUAUGCCGACUAGGGAUCGGAUGAUGUUAAUUUUUUAAUGACUCAUUCGGCGCCUUACG